rnacentral:rRNA from 1 species
CGGACGGGUGAGUAACGCGUGGGUAACCUGCCCUGUACAGGGGGAUAACAGUCAGAAAUGACUGCUAAUACCGCAUAAGACCACAGCACCGCAUGGUGCAGGGGUAAAAACUCCGGUGGUACAGGAUGGACCCGCGUCUGAUUAGCUGGUUGGUGAGGUAACGGCUCACCAAGGCGACGAUCAGUAGCCGGCUUGAGAGAGUGAACGGCCACAUUGGGACUGAGACGCGGCCCAAACUCCUACGGGAGGCAGCAUG